rnacentral:piRNA from 1 species
UGGUCUCAAACUCCUGACUUCAGGUGAUCCA